UGACUACUGGCAGGAUCAACCAGGUAGCAUUCCUUUUUGCUGCCGACCCCGCAGGAGCAAGAGGAMGAUUAUUGUCCUCCCAUCAAYACAGGGSASGUCAGGUCUUCCGUAAGGGACAAUUGAUUCGGGCAAAAAGGGACAAAGUCCCCAACCGAUCAUUGCUUCAACAUACAAGASUUCGAGCAACMCAUGAAGGUCCAAUGCCUGCUARCUAAAUAAGCMAAGCAAGGACAGACGUCCAUGGGUGCUUUUCGAUGUAGGUCGCACAAAACAUUUUAGCACGAGAUAGAGCAGGGAUCGUGGGACUASARAAUUCCGWCRAAAUAGGUAUGUUGCACAGGGGGCCAAGCCARUCCAAGGUAAAAKAUUUACACUCGCAACAAAAUUGAACWGGWGKCAACCAKCRAUUGUCGCUGCCA
rnacentral:rRNA from 1 species